GGCCUCCACAGCAGGAACAAAAGGAAUUUUGUCUUGAGAUUAUAGCAGAAAAGUAAUUUUUGAAAUCUAUUCUUGGAUUUGGACGUUUAUUGGAUUUCAAAGCUUCUUGCUGCCCAGGAGCUUGUGAAUAUGGUCAAAGGUCCAUGAAAUUUCCAAAGUGGUACCACAGCAGAUGAACCUGAAUGCAAACUGAAGGGACCAACAGAAUCCAGCCUAUAGACAUAAAUCCUUAACUACACCUAGACCUCACUGUCUUUUCCAAUGGUCAAAAGAGGGGCUUUUGAAAUGGCUCCAUUGUUUUAUAGAAAACAAGGUCUUCCUAAGAAGUCUUUUUCUCCUGUCUUUUUCUUACCCAAAAUAAAGGAAUGGCCCAAAACCUCAAGCCAAGCUUACCAGCUAUAAACAAUUUGGUGGUCAGCAGCCAAAAGAAGAGUGGACACGCCAUGGUCAUGUGGCACGUACCCUAUACAAGCUUCACAGAGAAGAAUGGAAGUACUUGAUUGUAAGACAGAGUGGUGAGAUGUGAGAGGAAUGUUAACUUUCACUUUCCACAGGCAUUUUUUUCUGCAAAUGGCACCAACUUUGGGACUUAAAAUUUUAUUCCAAAUACUAUUUAGAUGCAUCAGGGCUCUCAAAAUAUGGAUUUCAAGUUGGAGACAUCAAAGUGCAUUAUUUACUAAAACCACUGCAGCUUUUUUCCCCUCUCCUUUCACAAGAUGCUAUUGUAAAUUCAGGCUGCUUUAAUCUCUGUGAUUAAAAAAAAAACAGAAAGAAAGAAAAAAAAGUGCAGCUUGAAGAGGAACUGAACUCACAAUCUGGGAGCUAGAAAGUAAAUAUUACCCAGAGAGUACCUCACUUUAAUUACUGGCCUGAACAUUGGUUUCAAUUUACAUGUGUUUUAAUUAGCCACGGAAGGGUUCACCUAUUAUUCUCUGAAUACAAAACUUAAAAAGCAAACAGAAAAUAGGGAAAGAAAGGCUUAUUUAAGGGCCUCCAAGGAUUAAUCUUUGCAUUCUUCUCAUUUUUUCCCCGAAUUUGGGGAUAAAAUUUGUCGCAGGGAGUUUGAUCUUAGGGAAACAUUGAGUUUGGUUUGUGAACACAAGCUACUUCUGAACGCUAUUUUAGCAAACAGAAUUUUAGAAGCAUAAGGCUCUAGCAGAGGGCUAUACAGAAUUUUGCAUAAACUAAAUAACAACUGUUUCCUCCUGAAAUGCAGGAAAUCAAGCUGCAUGGAUAUGUUUGCUGAUUGGUCCUUAGGUCUUCAGCAAAGCUUGGACCACUUGGCAAGGUCUUCUGUCUCCAGAGGAAUGAUGGGAAAAGCUAUGGGACAAAAGUCAGGAGAGUGGUGCUGGCUGAUCCUGGCCUGGACAUUGACUCCCUGGGGACUUUGGUGCUCUCUCGCGCGCUCUCUGUCUCCAGUGAUAAGCUGACCAGAUGUCUUGAAUUAAGUACAGCCCAGGGAAGCCAAAAGAUUGGACACCUAUGGGGUAGAAGGAGGACAGGAGCUGGAACUGAGGCUUCCACAUAAAACCAAGGCCCUUGAAGGGCUCCUCAGACUGGCAAUUAUCUGCUGUCAACUAUGAAAACUCCACCCACCAGCUCAGCAAAGCAGUAAGGCAGUUUUUACCUGCCUGAAACGUUGAAUACAGAAAAUGCUGCUGUGAGACAGCAAGGCAUUCAGAUACCUUGGCUGAAAGAACUACCUAAGGAUGUACUUCAGGAAAAAGGAGAAUUGAACCCAGAGCAAAGAUGAAGUGUGAGAAACAAUAAGGAGGUAAUCUUCUGAGAUGGCUUUCACAUGUCCAUUCCAGACUGUUCCAGCAUUUUGCAUUCUAGUGAAAAUCCAUGACUGUUAAUUUAAAAAUACUGCAUUGACAAAUGACAGCCCUCUCCAAAGACUACAAUGGCCAGGGGGAGAGACAGUGGACUUCAGGGACUACUUGAGAGGAAAAUCAGUACAGUUCAUUUCUUUUUACUUCAACUAAAAUGACUCUAGGUAAAAGUCCUAUGGGAUAGGUGCCUGGUUGAAAAUGUAUCUCUCACUGAGUUGUCCUUUUUUAGUUUUAUAGAUGUGCUCCAUCACACACAUAGGAAUUUCAUAAAAAUGUUUUUCUUUGCCACAGAGGUCAGGGUUUUGCAGGCCUUUGGAGAACAGAUAACACGCCUAAAUGUCAGCUCAACUAAAGAACCAUGUUACCCGACUGGAACGCCUCAAUCUUGGUACUUGGCAGACUUUGGGAACACCUCAAACCACAUGUACUUUAGAGAAUGCAGACAAGUCACAAAAUUAAUUCAGUCUAGUCUGGCCAAACACUCUCAAUGUACUUCUAAAUUUGAACUAAUUGAUAGCCUCUCCUCCCCCAAUUAUACUUGUUAUAGCCAAUUCAAUUGGUUUUAACUGGAUUCACAUAAAAUUCAUCUACUUUUUGCUUUCACAAAUAUAACUGACAGGAACAAACAAAAACAGUUCUAUCUGUAAAAAGCAAUGCAGUAAUAAAACUUUGGACCUUGAAGCUUACAGAAGACUAAUGAGAUAAUGUCUAAAAUGUGUUUGAGCUGCAUGUGUGAAAGGCUCUAUGGAGACAGAAAAUAUGAUAAAUAAUGCAAGUAACCUUUAUGUCAGGAAAGCUCCUGUCUUCUGGAGGAUAUAAUAUGUAUUAAAUAAAUAUUUUACAAAUAUGUUCCUGCUAAUCUUAUCUGUCAACUCCAGCCUAGGUAGGUUGAAAAGGACUAUUACUCCCAUCAAAACAAAUAGGAAUCUUAGUUUCUAAUGAAAAGUUU